rnacentral:tRNA from 1 species
GGGGCUGUAGCUCAGCUGGCAGAGCGUCGCGCUGGCAGCGCGAAGGCCAGGGGUUCGAAUCCCCUCAGCUCCA